UACAGAGGGUGCUAGCGUUGUUCGGAAUCACUGGGCGUAAAGGGCGUGUAGGUGGCAAGGUGUGUCUGACGUGAAAUCCCUCGGCUUAACUGAGGAAGUGCAUCGGAAACUACCUUGCUCGAGUGCGAGAGAGGGUGGCGGAAUUCCCAGAGUAGAGGUGAAAUUCGUAGAUACUGGGAGGAACACCAGAGGCGAAGGCGGCCACCUGGUUCGUAACUGACACUGAGACGCGAAAGCGCGGGGAGCAAACAGG
rnacentral:rRNA from 1 species